AAUGGGCGAAAGCCUGAUGCAGCAAUGCCGCGUGUGUGAAGAAGGCCUGCGGGUUGUAAAGCACUUUCGGUAGGGAAGAUUAUGACGGUACCUACAGAAGAAGCACCGGCUAACUCCGUGCCAGCAGCCGCGGUAAUACGGAGGGUGCAAGCGUUAAUCGGAAUUACUGGGCGUAAAGCGCGCGUAGGCGGCUUUGUAAGUCGGAUGUGAAAGCCCCGGGCUUAACCUGGGAAUUGCAUUCGAUACUGCAUGGCUAGAGUAUGGUAGAGGGUAGCGGAAUUCCGGGUGUAGCGGUGAAAUGCGUAGAUAUCCGGAGGAACACCAGUGGCGAAGGCGGCUACCUGGACCAAUACUGACGCUGAGGUGCGAAAGCGUGGGGAGCAAA
rnacentral:rRNA from 1 species